rnacentral:rRNA from 1 species
UACAGAGGUCUCGAGCGUUUGUUCGGAUUCAUUGGGCGUAAAGGGCGCGUAGGCGGCGGGGUAAGUCUGGUGUGAAAUCUCGGAGCUCAACUCCGAAAUUGCACUGGAUACUGCUCUGCUAGAGGGCUGGAGAGGAGAUCGGAAUUCACGGUGUAGCAGUGAAAUGCGUAGAUAUCGUGAGGAAGACCAGUGGCGAAGGCGGAUCUCUGGACAGCUCCUGACGCUGAGGCGCGAAGGCUAGGGGGAGCAAACGGGG